rnacentral:rRNA from 1 species
GGACGAACGCUUGGCGGCGCGCCUAACACAUGCAAGUCGAACGAGAGAUGAGGAGCUUGCUCUUCAAAUCGAGUGGCGAACGGGUGAGUAACGCGUGAGGAACCUGCCUCAAAGAGGGGGACAACAGUUGGAAACGACUGCUAAUACCGCAUGAGCCCACGGCUCGGCAUCGAGCAGAGGGAAAAGGAGUGAUCCGCUUUGUGAUGGCCUCGCGUCCGAUUAGCUAGUUGGUGAGGUAACGGCCCACCAAGGCGACGAUCGGUAGCCGGACUGAGAGGUUGAACGGCCACAUUGGGACUGAGACACGGCCCAGACUCCUACGGGAGGCAGCAGUGGGGAAUAUUGCACAAUGGGGGAAACCCUGAUGCAGCGACGCCGCGUGGAGGAAGAAGGUCUUCGGAUUGUAAACUCCUGUUGUUGAGGAAGAUAAUGACGGUACUCAACAAGGAAGUGACGGCUAACUACGUGCCAGCAGCCGCGGUAAAACGUAGGUCACAAGCGUUGUCCGGAAUUACUGGGUGUAAAGGGAGCGCAGGCGGGAGAACAAGUUGGAAGUGAAAUCCAUGGGCUCAACCCAUGAACUGCUUUCAAAACUGUUUUUCUUGAGUAGUGCAGAGGUAGGCGGAGUUCCCGGUGUAGCGGUGGAAUGCGUAGAUAUCGGGAGGAACACCAGUGGCGAAGGCGGCCUACUGGGCACCAACUGACGCUGAGGCUCGAAAGUGUGGGUAGCAAACAGGAUUAGAUACCCUGGUAGUCCACACCGUAAACGAUGAUUACUAGGUGUUGGAGGAUUGACCCCUUCAGUGCCGCAAGUUAACACAAUAAG